AUUGAACGCUGGCGGCAUGCCUUACACAUGCAAGUCGAACGGCAGCACGGGAGCAAUCCUGGUGGCGAGUGGCGAACGGGUGAGUAAUAUAUCGGAACAUGCCCAGUCGUGGGGGAUAACGCAGCGAAAGCUGUGCUAAUACCGCAUACGAUCUACGGAUGAAAGCGGGGGAUCGCAAGACCUCGCGCGAUUGGAGCGGCCGAUAUCAGAUUAGCUAGUUGGUGAGGUAAAGGCUCACCAAGGCGACGAUCUGUAGCUGGUCUGAGAGGACGACCAGCCACACUGGAACUGAGACACGGUCCAGACUCCUACGGGAGGCAGCAGUGGGGAAUUUUGGACAAUGGGCGCAAGCCUGAUCCAGCAAUGCCGCGUGCAGGAUGAAGGCCUUCGGGUUGUAAACUGCUUUUGUACGGAACGAAACGGCGAGCUCUAAUACAGUUUGCUAAUGACGGUACCGUAAGAAUAAGCACCGGCUAACUACGUGCCAGCCGCCGCCGUAAGAC
rnacentral:rRNA from 1 species